rnacentral:rRNA from 1 species
AACGAACGCUGGCGGCAGGCCUAACACAUGCAAGUCGAACGCACCGCAAGAUGAGUGGCGCACGGGUGAGUAACACGUGGGAAUGUGCCCUUUGGUUCGGAAUAACGUCUGGAAACGGACGCUAAUACCGGAUGUCCCCUGCGGGGGAAAGAUUUAUCGCCAAAGGAGCAGCCCGCGUCUGAUUAGGUAGUUGGUGGGGUAAAGGCCUACCAAGCCGACGAUCAGUAGCUGGUCUGAGAGGAUGAUCAGCCACACUGGGACUGAGACACGGCCCAGACUCCUACGGGAGGCAGCAGUGGGGAAUAUUGGACAAUGGGCGCAAGCCUGAUCCAGCCAUGCCGCGUGAGUGAUGAAGGCCUUAGGGUUGUAAAGCUCUUUUAUCCGGGACGAUAAUGACGGUACCGGAGGAAUAAGCCCCGGCUAACUUCGUGCCAGCAGCCGCCGUAAAAC